ensembl:lincRNA Gm26945 predicted gene, 26945
AUGACUCCAUAAUCAGCAAAGAAUCCUGUCAGUAAGGUCUGAUUUCUUCGCAGUGUUCAUUGGAUCUUUUAAGUCUACAAACCAAUGAUACAAAUGCAAUAUGAAACAAUUGCUAGGAAGCUAAUUGGCAUAUUUUACUCACAGCCCAUUUUAUUUUCGCACAGCAGUGUACUUAAGUUUUCUACUUAAUAAUCUCAGUCUGCAUGUCCAAUAUGGCUGCCACCAUACACACAUGGCUGCUUAUAUAUAAAGUAAUUACUGUGAAGUGAAUUGUAAAAUUCAAUUUCUCUGUUGCAGUGCUCACACUGCAAGUUCUCAGUAGCUACCUGAGCCUUUGGGGCACUGUGUUAGGAUCAGGUUUCUAUUAUUCUGCAAAGAGCUAUUGGACAGCUCUUCACAGAGAAGGCUGCACACAGGAAGAGGGAAGAGAGACAGAUGUGACUGCUUUGAGGCAGGCAUGCGAAUUGAUCCAUCCAUGGUUCACUGAAGGCCCCUGGAAAGAGAAUCAGGAAGAGAACUCAGCAAUGAGAAAAGAAAGAAACUGUAAGGAGACCCCAGUCCCAAGCACAAGUUCUUCUCACUUCAUGAAUAUUUAUCCUAUUGCCCCCAGGGAGGCUAUGAAUGGGUCAAUAAACAAAACUGUCCCUGAAAGAAAAAGACAGAGGUCAAAGGUGGCUCAUGUGGAUCACUGAUGAGUACCCUGGGGUGUCUGAAUGGAGGGCUUUGACUAAGCCCUGUCACUCAGGAGGUCCAUCGUGAAAAAUCCCAUUUAUUAUCUCUUUCGGAUAUGAGCUUAGUCUGGCUAUCUAAAAUAACAUGGGCUGUAUUCUUGGGCUUCUGUGCACUAAAGCAGUGUAUGAAUCAACCAAGAACCCUAUAAAUGAACACUAACAAAAUGGGUCAUUGCUCUUUCAAAUAUGUGGGUAGUACAAUAAGAAUCUUUACUAAUGUAUUUAUGAAGCUUGACAUUCUAGCAAUGUAUUGAUCAAGGCUGAUGCCAUGGGGCAAGGAACAUUUGGAUAGAUGUUUGUUCUUUUGACAUAUUGUGUGUUUUUUAAAGGGAAGAGCAAAAUAUUUAUUUAAGAUGAUUAUUAACUAAAUAAAAUCUGAGUAGAAGAGGGCUUAUACAUGAAUCUAGGCUGACAGCUCGCCCCAGAUGAACAAUUAGGGUUUCUGUUCUACUUUCCACUGUAUUUCAAUUCUGUCCCUCACUUUAAUUUAAAUAGUUAGAGACAUGUGUUAAUCCUUCCAUGACUGAACAUACAAUGUAAUCUGGAAUUAAUCUAUUGUUCCAUUUUUGUGGAAUCACAGUUGUAAUGGCAUUAUCAUAUAUAGAAAAAGGACAUUACUAUCUCAAUUAAUCAAGCUAAGCUGCAGGACCUUUUAUUAUGAGAGAAGUAGAUAGUUACAGUACCAACGAAAUUAGAGAAACCUAAUAAGUGGAGCACCUCACAUUUUUCCUAUUUUUUUUCUAUUAUUUAUUUAGACAUAAUACAAUAUUAUAAAGUUUUUGUUUUGUUCCUUGAAGUUGCAGGGUCAAAGAGUUACAUAUGCAACCACAUAUAUAUUAUAUGCAUAUGUAUGCAUAGGCUCCUGUAGAGACACCUUGCCUAGGUCCAGUCAGAAUAUUUCACUCUUGACAGACCCAUGAACCAGUCUUGGUGUUCAUGUUUGUAUCUAGUUUGCAGUUAUUGGAAAGUUACUACUUAUUGUAAUCUCAGUGGCUUUGCCAGCAAGCUUAUUCCUUAGUCCCAUCAAUUUUUGUUGAGUUAUAAUAAUCUGAGUACUUUUGGCUAUAAAAAUAUGAGUUUAGACUUGAGCUUCCUAUCUGACCAUCUGUACAAUGAAAUAGUAAUUUUCAUUUUGUUACUGCUUUGUCCUCAGAAUGCAUGCACCAGUCCCCAUUGUUCUCAGGUUAGGAAGGAAUGGAUGUUUAUCGUCCUGAGUCUUCUUUGCUCAUAACCACUGGCUUCCCAAUUCACUGUCGGUCUCUGUUCUAAUAUCAGAGGGG